rnacentral:rRNA from 1 species
AGCGAACGCUGGCGGCAGGCUUAACACAUGCAAGUCGAGCGGGCAUAGCAAUAUGUCAGCGGCAGACGGGUGAGUAACGCGUGGGAACGUACCUUUUGGUUCGGAACAACACAGGGAAACUUGUGCUAAUACCGGAUAAGCCCUUACGGGGAAAGAUUUAUCGCCGAAAGAUCGGCCCGCGUCUGAUUAGCUAGUUGGUGAGGUAAUGGCUCACCAAGGCGACGAUCAGUAGCUGGUCUGAGAGGAUGAUCAGCCACAUUGGGACUGAGACACGGCCCAA